AUGCUGUUAACCAAGCGACUAGCACCUCAAUUUGCCACUGCAGCAGCAGCAGCAGCAGCGUGUGGCACUUUUAGGGCCGCCAAUCUGCUCGAUAUUUUCAUGCCACAAAGACCACAAGAUGACGGCGCAGCCCUUCUGCGGUCAGGCGCUUGGUAGCCCAAAACGGUAGCAAGUGUAAAUACGUGUCCAGUAACCGUCUGGGGAUAUCGUACCGAGAGAGAGAGGGAGAAUAUUUCAGGCCACGCAUUGAUAAGCACCCAUGAGGAAGGGGUGGAGCGAGGUUUGUGUUGAUUUUACGACACCCGCAAGUGCCGCAAGCCAUUAGGAGGUAGCCAAGUGCGUCAGCAGGACACGAAGGUUUAUUGCACUUGGCAGUGACAAAAACGUUGCAGCAGCUGCCAACUGACAGUUCCCCUCUCUCUCUCUCCACCUUCAUCUUCAUCUCUUCCUUCUCCAACAGUUCAUCACACGUGCAGGAGAUGUGACAUUAUCUUUGUGUGUGUGGGCGCCAGCGUUGUUGGAUGUGUCCACACUUACACGUAUUAAAAAGCCAUUUGUGUUGGCCAUGUUUGAUGGCUUUUAACAUCGUGCGUGGCGAGAGCCUUGACAAGUGCCCAGGUGUGGGCAAAAGCCACACAAGCUGCGCGCCUGUCUCUCUUGAAUUUUAUGCUCUUUAUAUUGCUCAUACGCAGCAUGGGCAUAAAAAUUCAAUUUGAAAUUUAAAUUGAAAAGCUUCUGGCUUGCUUUCGGAAAUUAAUAAAAAAAGACUGUAACAAUUCAAAGAAUAAAAAACAUUCAAUUCAUUAGAUGACUCUUUAAUCAAAACAAUGACGAAAAAUCAAUUCAAGUAAAUUUUGUUUAAGUCUUGCAAUGUUACUUGAGGUUCGCUCACUGAAGCUGUUGGCCAAAAGUUUUACGAGCACUCGAUGUCAUUGCCAUUGCUGGUGUCUUUUCCAGUCCAGCUGCCUGUUCUCUUUGUUCCUCUGUUUUCCU